CACGGGGGUUGCGAGCGUUAUCCGGAAUUAUUGGGCGUAAAGAGUGCGUAGGUGGUUUUGUAAGCGCGGGGUGAAAGGCUAUGGCUCAACCAUAGUAAGCCCUGCGAACUGUAAGACUUGAGUGCAGGAGAGGAAAGCGGAAUUCCUAGUGUAGCGGUGAAAUGCGUAGAUAUUAGGAGGAACACCAGUGGCGAAGGCGGCUUUCUGGACUGUAACUGACACUGAGGCACGAAAGCGUGGGGAGCAAACAGG
rnacentral:rRNA from 1 species